CGGGGCCGCACAAGCGGUGGAGCAUGUGGUUUAAUUCGAAGCAACGCGAGAAACCUUACCAGGUCUUGACAUCCCGAUGCUAUUUCUAGAGAUAGAAAGUUACUUCGGUACAUCGGUGACAGGUGGUGCAUGGUUGUCGUCAGCUCGUGUCGUGAGAUGUCGGGUUAAGUCCCGCAACGAGCGCAACCCCUAUUGUUAGUUGCCAUCAUUCAGUUGGGCACUCUAGCGAGACUGCCGGUAAUAAACCGGAGGAAGGUGGGGAUGACGUCAAAUCAUCAUGCCCCUUAUGACCUGGGCUACACACGUGCUACAAUGGUUGGUACAACGAGUUGCGAGUCGGUGACGGCGAGCUAAUCUCUUAAAGCCAAUCUCAGUUCGGAUUGUAGGCUGCAACUCGCCUACAUGAAGUCGGAAUCGCUAGUAAUCGCGGAUCAGCACGCCGCGGUGAAUACGUUCCCGGGCCUU
rnacentral:rRNA from 1 species